rnacentral:lncRNA from 1 species
CUUGGCCGUGAUGGUGAAGCUUGGUCUGGAAGCUCCGAGUUUAUCUUGGGAACUCAAGAGGAGAGGAUCACCCAGUUCACAGGUAUUUGAGGAUACAAACCCAUUGCUGGGCUCGGCUUUAAAAGUCUUAUCUGAAAUUCCUUGUGAAACAGAGUUUCAUCAAAGCCAAUCCAAAAGGCCUAUGUAAAAAUAACCAUUCUUGCUGCACUUUAUGCAAAUAAUCAGGCCAAAUAUAAGACUACAGUUUAUUUACAAUUUGUUUUUACCAAAAAUGAGGACUAGAGAGAAAAAUGGUGCUCCAAAGCUUAUCAUACAUUUGUCAUUAAGUCCUAGUCUCAUUAAUUGUUUUCAAGCUUUUCGCCUACAUUUUAGACUAACCCUGCUUAUUCCUGUGAAUCAAGUAGUGGUCUCCUGCAGCUUGGAAGAAAAAAUAAGGGAUGGGUAAUGUAAAAAUCUGGAUCAAUAUACUGGUUCUGGGCAAUUAUCCUGCAAAUUCUGCCAGGUAAUAAAAGUGAGUAGGGU